ACAUGCCUACAACAUAGUGUUAAUGCAUUAGAUCCCAUUAGAAAUCCAUAGUUAAGCGUGCUCAAGAUAGAGUAGUACUCAGAUGGGGGACCACCCAGGAAGUCCUAAUGUUUUACAUGAC
rnacentral:rRNA from 1 species